CUACGGAGGAUCCAAGCGUUAUCCGGAAUCAUUGGGUUUAAAGGGUCCGUAGGCGGGUUUGUAAGUCAGUGGUGAAGGUUUUCGGCUCAACCGGAAAAUUGCCAUUGAUACUGCAAGUCUUGAAUCAUUAUGAAGUGGUUAGAAUGUGUAGUGUAGCGGUGAAAUGCAUAGAUAUUACACAGAAUACCGAUUGCGAAGGCAGAUCACUAAUAAUGUAUUGACGCUAAGGGACGAAAGCGUGGGUAGCGAACAGGAUUAGAAACCCUAGUAGUCC
rnacentral:rRNA from 1 species